AGGGCAUGGGGGUCGGCUAGCCAUGCGAGUCAAUGUUCUUCGUGAACAUGGCGUACUGCGUCAGUAACACGUGGAUAACCUGCCCUUAGGACUGGCAUAACCCCGGGAAACUGGGGAUAAUUCCGGAUAGUUCAUGGUAGUUGGAAUGCUCCAUGAUCGAAAGCUAUUGGGCCUAAGGAUGGGUCUGGGGUCUAUCAGGUAGUAGUGGGUGUAAUGUACCUACUAGCCGACGACGGAUACGGGUUGUGGGAGCAAGAGCCCGGAGAUGGGUUCUGAGACAUGAAUCCAGGCCCUACGGGGCGCAGCAGGCGCGAAAACUUUACAAUGCGGGAAACCGCGAUAAGGGGACACCGAGUGCCAGCAUCUUAUGUUGGCUGUCCGCAUGUAUAAAUCACAUGUGUUAGCAAGGGCCGGGCAAGACCGGUGCCAGCCGCCGCGGUAACACCGGCGGCCCGAGUGGUGGCCACUAUUAUUGGGUCUAAAGGGUCCGUAGCCGGUUUGGUCAGUCUUCCGGGAAAUCUGACGGCUUAACCGUUAGGCUUUCGGGGGAUACUACCAGGCUUGGGACCGGGAGAGGUAAGAGGUACUACGGGGGUAGGAGUGAAAUCUUGUAUUCCUCGUGGGACCACCAGUGGCGAAGGCGUCUUACCAGAACGGGUCCGACGGUGAGGGACGAAAGCUGGGGGCACGAACCGGAUUAGAUACCCGGGUAGUCCCAGCCGUAAACUAUGCUCGCUAGGUGUCAGGGACGGUGCGACCGUUUCUGGUGCCGCAGGGAAGCCGUGAAGCGAGCCACCUGG
rnacentral:rRNA from 1 species